GCCGGGCACGGAGGUGCAUGCCUGUAAUCCUAGCAACUUGGGAGGCUGAGGCAGGAGGAUCAGGAGUUCAAAGUCAGCCUCAGCAAAAGUGGGCACUAAGCAACUCAGUGGGAUCCUGCUCU
rnacentral:sRNA from 1 species